rnacentral:rRNA from 1 species
UGGGGAAUUUUGGACAAUGGGCGAAAGCCUGAUCCAGCAAUGCCGCGUGUGUGAAGAAGGCCUUCGGGUUGUAAAGCACUUUUGUCCGGAAAGAAAUCCUUGGCUCUAAUACAGUCGGGGGAUGACGGUACCGGAAGAAUAAGCACCGGCUAACUACGUGCCAGCAGCCGCGGUAAUACGUAGGGUGCAAGCGUUAAUCGGAAUUACUGGGCGUAAAGCGUGCGCAGGCGGUUUGCUAAGACCGAUGUGAAAUCCCCGGGCUCAACCUGGGAACUGCAUUGGUGACUGGCAGGCUAGAGUAUGGCAGAGGGGGGUAGAAUUCCACGUGUAGCAGUGAAAUGCGUAGAGAUGUGGAGGAAUACCGAUGGCGAAGGCAGCCCCCUGGGCCAAUACUGACGCUCAUGCACGAAAGCGUGGGGAGCAAACAGGAUUAGAUACCCCUGGUAGUCCACGCCCUAAACGAUGUCAACUAGUUGUUGGGGGAUUCAUUUCCUUAGUAACGUAGCUAACGCGUGAAGUUGACCGCCUGGGGAGUACGGUCGCAAGAUUAAAACUCAAAGGAAUUGACGGGGUCAUAGCUGUUUCCU